GGGAGCUGCUGCGUGUUACACGCGGUUGUGUGUCAUUCUAGGUGACAGACGGAGCGGCUACCGGAGGGGACGGGGGAUCUCUGAGGAGAGCCCAUCCCGCCAGAAGGGAGAGUAAUGGCAUUCCCCCGGCCACGGAAGAAGGAUGUGUGUGACCAAGGAAUCCAUGGCAAGAAGAGCCCAACAGACAUGAAGCAUCCCAGUAAUGCAGAGAGUAUAGUUACAUACCAAGGUUAUCCAAAACCAUUUGAGAAUACUGCUAUGUCACAACUGGCAACAUAGUGACAUUUAUCAGCUUAAACAGUGUGCUGAGACCAUGGGUCGUCAGAAGGACCAGAUACCUGUGCCUUAAACAAAGCUCCCCAACGUACUGUACAGUCUUUAUUUGUGUUUGAGAUUAAUUGACCACUGCAGAAUGCAUCCUUGGGCUUUCUGAAAUAUAUGAAAUGACACAGGGUGAAGUGAUGAGAAGUUAUCCUGAGAGAGGGGAGUGAUAUUGUAAAACCCGUCUGGAAGAUAGCUGCAAUACUGCUGGCUCCUGGCUUUGGCUGUGUAUGCUACACAAAUACAAACUGCAUUUACACUUGAUUAAAGGUAAUGUAAUAAAAAAAAUCCCCAACUUUUUCUGGGUGUAUGUUUGCAUGUGGACCAGCGCUGUAAACAAAACGUACUAAACACUUGAAACAGCAGCAGUAGCUACAUUUUU
rnacentral:lncRNA from 1 species